AGUGAACGCUGGCGGUAGGCCUAACACAUGCAAGUCGAACGGCAGCACAGUAAGAGCUUGCUCUUACGGGUGGCGAGUGGCGGACGGGUGAGGAAUACAUCGGAAUCUACUUUUUCGUGGGGGAUAACGUAGGUAAACUUACGCUAAUACCGCAUACGACCUACGGGUGAAAGCAGGGGAUCUUCGGACCUUGCGCGAUUGAAUGAGCCGAUGUCGGAUUAGCUAGUUGGCGGGGUAAAGGCCCACCAAGGCGACGAUCCGUAGCUGGUCUGAGAGGAUGAUCAGCAACACUGGAACUGAGACACGGUCCAGACUCCUAGGGGAGGCAGCAGUGGGGAAUAUUGGAAAAUGGGCGGAAGCCUGAUCCAGCCAUACCGCGUGGGUGAAGAAGGCCUUCGGGUUGUAAAGCCCUUUUGUUGGGAAAGAAAAGAAGCAGGUUAAUACCCCGCUGUUCUGACGGUACCCAAAGAAUAAGCACCGGCUAAUUUCGU
rnacentral:rRNA from 1 species